CGCACGUCCUGGCUGUUGACUUCGAAAGAGCUGGAAUCGAAGGAUGCGACCGGUAUCCUUUCUUCAUGAACCACACCGAUGUGGAGUGGCCAGCUGGGGCAAGCGAUAACCAGCUGCUGAUGCAAGUGCACGACAACGAACUUCUGGAAUCGCAGCUGGAGCGGAAGCACAAGAGGAAGUACGACUGGCACAAUGAUCGGAGUUUUGUGCCAAAGAAGCUUGCGGCGCUGGCAUCUGGAGCAUCGGUAUCGGAUACUGAAGAAG